rnacentral:piRNA from 1 species
UUGCUGGCAACGUGCAAGAGAUGGU